GUCGGCUCCGUGCCCUCUCUUUGCGGAGAGAUGCUAUAUAAUAAGAGGAAACAUUGUCGUCCCAAAGUUAAAUGCAAUAGAAGACAUUAGAAAAUAAUUCUCCAGCCUUUAAAAAAAAAUACAUACAAUUCUCCAGAAAAAAACGAAGACAGUAGAAGGCGAAGAGGCAAGAGGGAAGGAUUCUUAGCGCGGUUCCGUUCUAGGGUUUUGGAACACAGAAACUAGAAGGAGAAGAAGAAGAAACAGACGGAGAGAGAGAGAGAGAGAGAGAGAGAGAGAGAGAGAAUCGGACUUUACUGUGAGUUUCCCACCAAGCUACUGAAUCCCAAUUUCUCCAUUUUGAUUCCUCAAUCCGUUGGUUUUGGAGGUUGUUUAAUUACUCUACUGGGAAAUUAGCCUGCUAUAUAUAAGAGCAUGGUAGAAGUUGAACCUGAAAAAGUUGAAGAUGCCGAAUUUGAAUGGGGAAAGAAGAAAGGAAUUGGUGGGAAGAAGAAAAGAGUUCAGUUUUAUGAAUCUUUUACCUACGAUGGUGUGGAGUACGUUCUUUUUGAUUCUGUCUAUCUUUAUAAAGAAGGUGAACCUGAGCCUUAUAUUGGUAAACUCUUAAAAAUAUGGGAGCAUCCCGAUAAGAUGAGGAAAGUGAAGGUUCUAUGGUUUUUCCGCCCUUGUGAGAUUUUAAAUUUUCUCGGAGAUGAAGAACCAUCUGACAAUGAGUUAUUUUUGGCUUCCGGUGAAGGUGUGGGCCUUUGCAACGUCAAUCCUCUGGAAGCUAUUGCUGGGAAAUGUAAUGUUGUCUGCAUUUCAAAAGACAACAGGAAUCGUCAACCUACAGAUAAAGAACUUCAAACGGCAGACUAUGUAUUUCGCCGGACAUUUGAUGUUGGGAACAGGAAAAUCUUGGACGAAAUAGAAGAGACAAUUGCUGGGACUGAUGUUAAAUCUCUACUCAACAGAGAGGAUUUUGAAAAAAGUGCUGGUACUCUGAAGGUUGAUUCAGGAGGGAAAGAAGUUGGUGGAACUGCUGCACAAACUGAUGAUACAGUGGUUUCAUCUGAGACAAACUCAUCCAAAAAAUGUCCAGUUGUAGACACAAAUGGACACUGCAGUGUUACUUUACCAAAUGAAGCAGUUGAAACGAACGUUUUGUUUACUAAACACGAAUCUUCGACUGCAGAAAAGACUGCUUCGGGUGUAAGUGUUGAAUCAGAUGAUGUAGCAAAAACUAAUCAGACAAAAGAAAAUGUGAGAGAUCACAAAGCCUUAUCGGGGUCUAAAGUGGAACCUAAGCACAGUGAGGCCAAAGUUGGUAAAGUUCUUGCCGGGCAGGUUGAGAGUGAAAGAAAAGUUGAAUGUGCUAAGGAUUCCGUUGAAUUGGAUGAUAGACCAUCUAAGAAGGCAAAGCUUAGUUCUGAAUAUGUUGAGAAGAGCAAAAAUAGCAUGCAGCAGUCAAGAUUUAAAUAUGAUGCCAAUGAUGGGGAGACUUUAGCAUUAACUGCUUCUGCUCUUAAACCCUCUAAGGAUUCUACAGAGAAAGGCCCUUCCAAAAAGCUGAAGCCUGAGGAAAAAACAACAAUGCUUAGUUCUGAGUAUGUCGAGAAGAGCAAAAAUAACACGCAGGAUGGGGAGACUUUAGCAUUAACUGCUUCUUCUCUUAAACCAUCUAAGGAUUUUAUAGAGAAAGGACUUUCCAAAAAGCUGAAGCCUGAGGAAAAAACAACAAUGCUUAGUCCUGAGUAUGUCGAGAAGAGCAAAAAUAGCAUGCAGCAGCCAAGAUUUAAAUCUGCUGCCAAUGAUGGGGAGACUUCAUUAACUGUUUCUGCUCUUAAACCCUCUAAGGAUUCUACGGAGAAAGGCCCUUCCAAAAAGCUGAAGCCUGAGGAAAAAACAACAAUGCUUUCUAAUGGAAAAUUGAUUAAAGAACCUUCCCAAAAGUCUCAUAAUGAGGAUCAUAAAACUGACGGACAGAAGUUAGAAGAAAGAAGGAAAUGGUUUCCGGGACUUCCUUGGGAAGAUAGUAUGCGAACUGCAUAUGAGCAAAGCAGACUUGUUUUGCUUCAGAAUUUGGAUCCAUCUUAUACUUCAGCAGAAGUGGAGGAUAUUGUAUGGCAUGGUUUCGGGGAAAGAUGCACAGUGAAGAUGAUUCAACGGAUUGUGUUUUCUAGCCCUCAUUCUGGUCAAGCUUUUGUUAUUUUCAGUAAAAGGGAGGUAGCAGAGAUGGUUGUUAGAAAAUUAGACGAGAGCUGUUUGCUAUUAUCAGAUGGGAGGUGCAGGCCUCUUGUAGGCAGUUUAGGAACUCCUUGCUUCCCGGAAAAGAAGCCAAAAUUUUUUGGCCAUUUUGGCAUUGAUAAGCGCCGAUACCAAAUGCAGCGGGAGGAGAAAGAUGCUGUAUCUACUUCGCAUUGUUCUCAGCCCAAUACACUUGAAUUUGAAAUGGCACUGGAAUGGUGCUUAUUACAAGAAAAAUCAGAGCUUUCGUGGAAGAAGUUGUACCAGAAACAGGGACAGGAGUUAAAACAACUAAAGGUAAAACUCAAGGCCAGAUGGCGCUAAUGUUGUAAACUUGUUCUUCUUGGUUUCCCGUUUUGCUAUUGGAUUGGAAAUCAUGAGAAGGCAUCCCUCUCCUAGAGCUUUUUUGUCCAGAAGUCGGUCAAAUUUUGAGGAUUCCCACCGUCUCAUCAGAUAUCAAAAUCCAUUAUGGGUACAUUUGGGCGGGCUCAGGCAGCUAAGACCAGGCCCGCGGCCUGUUCGAGGGUCUUCUCGGGCUCGGGGCGAACGGCCCAAAUUUUUCAGGCAAGCGGGUUUGGGUGUCGGGUACAAAUUCAAUUUUUUCAGACAGUCACAGACGGCCCGUAUAAAGUUUCAACACUAAAUACGGUUAAACAAACAUACUCAUAGGAUACUUUCACUAUAAGGACAGAAAGCAUGUAAAAUGCACUCGGGUCCCUCAUGAGGCGUGUUUUUCGGUUGAGGCAUAUGUUUCCUCUCGAGUCAUGUUUUGGUGCAACAACUUAAUACAAAAUCCAUGCUUCAUAGUGGGUUAAUGGUAAGUUAUUUUUUGUAUCAUGUUAUUGUGAUGUUGUAAUUUUUACCGGUCAACAAAUGGUUGGAAUCUUUUAUGGUUGUAAAUCAGAACGAAGAAAAGGUUUC